rnacentral:misc_RNA from 1 species
UUAUGCUGAGGGCUCGCGCUA